GCGAAAGUGGCGGAAUUGGCAGACGCACCAGACUUAGGAUCUGGCGGGUAACCCCCGUGAGGGUUCGAGUCCCUCCUUUCGCACCA
rnacentral:tRNA from 1 species